rnacentral:pre_miRNA from 1 species
AGUGGUAUAACUGGGUCAAUACGUGGUUCCAUUCCAAAUUUUCUGAGAAAUCUACAUACUGCUUUCCAAAGUGGUUGGACAAUUUGCAGUCCCACUAGCAAU